UUUAGAGUUUGAAUUCCCNCUCAGGACGAACGCUGGCGGCGUGCCUAAUACAUGCAAGUCGUACGCUUCUUUUUCCACCGGAGCUUGCUCCACCGGAAAAAGAAGAGUGGCGAACGGGUGAGUAACACGUGGGUAACCUGCCCAUCAGAAGGGGAUAACACUUGGAAACAGGUGCUAAUACCGUAUAACAAUCGAAACCGCAUGGUUUUGAUUUGAAAGGCGCUUUCGGGUGUCGCUGAUGGAUGGACCCGCGGUGCAUUAGCUAGUUGGUGAGGUAACGGCUCACCAAGGCCACGAUGCAUAGCCGACCUGAGAGGGUGAUCGGCCACAUUGGGACUGAGACACGGCCCAAACUCCUACGGGAGGCAGCAGUAGGGAAUCUUCGGCAAUGGACGAAAGUCUGACCGAGCAACGCCGCGUGAGUGAAGAAGGUUUUCGGAUCGUAAAACUCUGUUGUUAGAGAAGAACAAGGAUGAGAGUAACUGUUCAUCCCUUGACGGUAUCUAACCAGAAAGCCACGGCUAACUACGUGCCAGCAGCCGCGGUAAUACGUAGGUGGCAAGCGUUGUCCGGAUUUAUUGGGCGUAAAGCGAGCGCAGGCGGUUUCUUAAGUCUGAUGUGAAAGCCCCCGGCUCAACCGGGGAGGGUCAUUGGAAACUGGGAGACUUGAGUGCAGAAGAGGAGA
rnacentral:rRNA from 1 species